GGAUUAGAUACCCUGGUAGUCCACACCGUAAACGAUGUCUACUAGCUGUGUGUGUAUUUAAUACGUGCGUAGCGCAGCCAACGCGAUAAGUAGACCGCCUGGGGAGUACGGCCGCAAGGUUAAAACUCAAAUGAAUUGACGGGGGCCCGCACAAGCGGUGGAGCAUGUGGUUUAAUUCGAUGCAACGCGAAGAACCUUACCUACACUUGACAUACUAAGAACUUACUAGAGAUAGUUUGGUGCCUUCGGGAGCUUAGAUACAGGUGCUGCAUGGCUGUCGUCAGCUCGUGCUG
rnacentral:rRNA from 1 species